rnacentral:rRNA from 2 species
GUAGGGAAUAUUGCUCAAUGGGGGAAACCCUGAAGCAGCAACGCCGCGUGGAGGAUGAAGGUUUUAGGAUUGUAAACUCCUUUUGUGAGAGAAGAUAAUGACGGUAUCUCACGAAUAAGCACCGGCUAACUCCGUGCCAGCAGCCGCGGUAAUACGGAGGGUGCAAGCGUUACUCGGAAUCACUGGGCGUAAAGAGUGCGCAGGCGGGCUUGUAAGUCAGAUGUGAAAUCCUGUAGCUUAACUACAGAACUGCAUUUGAAACUAUGAGUCUAGAGUGUGGGAGAGGUAGGUGGAAUUCUUGGUGUAGGGGUAAAAUCCGUAGAUAUCAAGAGGAAUACUCAUUGCGAAGGCGACCUACUGGAACAUUACUGACGCUCAUGCACGAAAGCGUGGGGAGCAAACAGG